rnacentral:rRNA from 1 species
ACGAAGGGGGCUAGCGUUGCGCGGAAGAAAGGGGCGAAAAGGGGGCGUAGGCGGGUCUUUAAGUCAGGGGUGAAAUCCCGGAGCUCAACUCCAGAACUGCCUUUGAUACUGAAGAUCUUGAGUAUGGGAGAGGUGAGUGGAACUGCGAGUGUAGAGGUGAAAUUCGUAGAUAUUCGCAAGAACACCAGUGGCGAAGGCGGCUCACUGGCCCAUAACUGACGCUGAGGCACGAAAGCGUGGGGAGCAAACAG